CCAGUGGUCGACCUUCAAUAAUGUUUGCUGUUCCCAGUUUAUAUGGAGUGCAGAAUUUCUUGCAUCCAGUUGAACAAACAAAACUGAGCAUUUGCCAAGAGGAGUGUUUAUUUAAAGACUACCCUUGUGAUGAGGAUGUCUUUCAACUGUGUGUAGAACUCAUGGCUGAGCAUAACCUUGUCAUGUCAGAUGAUGUUUAUGAAAUUACGGACCUUUACCUUCAACUUCGUGAACUGAUCCUUCAAGGACUGGAUUUGGAGGAAUAGAUUCACCAUUCUAAUCUAAUCUACAACAUUCACUAUAAGCUAAAGAUGUUGAACUGCAGCCUUACUCUCCCUACCCAAGCAACCUUGGACCACUGGAUGGAAUCGCAAAGCUUUUGGCAUCACAUGCCAGUGUGUUUUUAAUCCAAUCAUAGUCUCAAAACAAGUUUCUGAGUUCAAAGGCUCUGCAA